CUCUGAAAUCUACCUGCCUCUGCCUCCCUAGUGUUGGUAUUACAGGAAUUAUGAGGAAGGUGAAUGAAAGAGCAUAGUACCACUGUAAGAAUCACCACUGGACUGCUGGAGAACACUGGUAUGUGCCUGUCAGCCCUUCCCUUGCUUCUGUGGGUCUGCCCCUGACGACUGUGGCACAGCACUGAACCAGGCUCUUUCCCAGGCACUCUUCAUGUCCUCAUUCCUAAGGGUGUAGAUUAUGGGGUUCAGCAGAGGGGUUACAGCAGUGAAAAACACAGACACAACCUUGUCCUCAGGAAGGCUGGUGGAUGGGCGUGAGUAGAUGAAGAUACAGUGUCCUAGAAACAGAGUGACCACGGUGAGAUGG